AGCUUUCAAAAUCCGUGCAGAGAUUUCCUCAGACGCCAAACCAUUAGGGCUGAUCAGACUUUCAAGAUAAGUGGAGUU
rfam:Schistosoma mattheei strain Denwood, Zambia genome assembly, scaffold: SMTD_contig0014545